rnacentral:tRNA from 2 species
GGGUAGGCGCCGGCAGAACGGGUACCAUUGAUGUUGGUAAGCAUGGGACAAAGGUCUCUCUACCUU